AAAAGAAAAGAAAAAAGAAGGACAUGUUCCUGAUGGAAUCCAGACUACUGCAAGUCCACCAGAUGAGCAGAUCAAAAAGAUCUUUUUCUGGAGGAAGUUUCUAGAACUGAUUUUACAGGAAACGUGUUGUACUAGAGAUACUUGCUGGAUAUGGAAAGAUCAAACUUGGAGUUCCAUUCUGUAUUUUAGAAAUCUGCACGCUUUUCAAAACAACAUAUCUUCUUAAGAGAAAUUAGCUUACAUAUGCGGACUUUCAAGAGACUUAUUCUCAUCAUGUUUCUGUCAGAUGUUUCCCUUCAACUGUCCACACUGAAAGAGGACUUGGGAGUUAAAGCAAGCACUGGGCAUCCUUACAGAAGUAUACGACAGCUCUUUAAUCCCACAUUGCAGCCAUUAGAAUCAACAGAAACUUGCCCUACCUUUGAAGACAGUGAUUUUUUAGAAAUUGUAUAAUGUGAACCAGUUUCAACACUGAAAUCUCAGUUCUUUUCAUAUCAUGGCUUGGAUGUUUGAUGGCUCUGAGAGCUGAAAGAAGAUGGAUCUUCUAUGAUUGGAUGCAUCCUUACAAAUGACAGCAUUCAAUCUAAAUAGUCAAGGUUGAAAGCAUUCCUUAUGACACAGUGAUUAACUUGUCUGCCUGUCAUGCUACAUUAUUUAUUGAAUCUGGACUUUUUUAUUAGUCAGAAUUAAUCUGAUGGUUAUUUUACUUUUUUGUGGUCACAUUCUGCAACUGGUAGGUUUAUGAAAAAUAUUACAAGAAUUUUCCUGCUAGAUAAAAAAUCUGAUGCCAUAGUAGUACUUAAAUUGAAUGUUAAUUUUCCUAAUGGAAAAACCCUAGACAAUGUGCUCCUUCCGAUUGAAAAAGAAUUUAUUAAUUUUAUUCUUUUCCUAUGUUUAGUAUACUGCCUUCUAUUUCUCAUCUUGCAUACUAUAUCACUGACAUUAAUUUUAUCAAAAAGUUCCUGUCUUUGAUUAUAAUUUAACUUUUGUUCUUCUUUCUUUGUUGCCAUUUUAAGCAUAUUUUUUCUAAUUUGUGGUGAAUGACUGUUUCUGUGUCUUAGAAGCUACUGUAAUUAACACUCAUGAUGAAGUCUUGCUACUGUGUACUGUUGAGUAGUCCAAACCGAUUCCAUUAUGAAAAUAUAUCUGCAGCAUUGGAUAGAUAAUAUUUGUGUAUUUUCAAAAUGCAUAUUGCUUUUUUCAUGUUGAAUUUUGGUUGUGGUGGGAAGAAAACAAAAGUAUCAAUAUUUUUAAUAUAUAUUAUAGGACUGUUUAAAUUACAUUGGGCAAAAUGACCCUUUUCCUUCUAGCCUCCCUUAGUUUUUCAGCUUACUUUUAACUUUCAUACUUUGCACACAGUUCCGCGAUUAUUUUUUUUAAUGGCUAAUUAACCGAAAGUGCAUGACUUCUGAUUGCUCAUUUAAAUUAACUAAUGAGCAUGAAAGAAUUAAUGUAGCUUUGAUACAGGAAAAGAUGUUUUCAGUUGGCAUGUUCAUAUCCGACUUUCUCUCAGUAAUACGUAAAUGACAAAUUUAAGUGUCAGAAGAAAACCUACUAGAGUGUGCUACUUUGUAAUGUGUUCAGUAUUGUAAUGUGAAGAAACAAGCACAGAUACAACAGUACAAGUGGCAGAACAAGAACAAUAGUACAAGUUCUGUGCAAGUGACAGAACAAUUUAUAUUUACUUUUUUUUACAAUCUGUAGUUGAAAUUCACUAGUUGUUGACAUGGACAGCAAAAGAGUCUACAUUACAAAAUUUAUUUUGAUGUUUGAAUCCAUCUUAAACCAGACAUCUUUGGGAAUUGUCGUGUUAAACACCAAAUUUUUUCUGUUGGAAUGGUUGAAUGGUCUCAUAUUACAGUAGUUGACUGUUCAUUUGGAAAUAUUUAGGACAUUUCUGGUUGUCAGCAUGAAUUUUUUUUCUUUGUACCCUGCCUUUGUUAUCUUAGUAAUGUUUUAUAUUUUGGCAAUUGUUUGAGACAUCAUUAUGUCAUCAUAUUACAGUCUAGUUUUAGGUCUUCAUUAGUUUAAUGUUAAGCUUUUCUUUAAAAUUUUUGUAUGUUUUACAGUAUUAGAACUCACAAAAUAAUAAAGUCCUUGGGUUCUGAUAUUGUGUUUAUGAGAAAUAUACAUGUAUUUAUUAGUUGAUGAAGGUCCUGAUUAUUUCCUCAGAGGGAAAUUAUGUAAUCAAUACUGUAAGCAUGUCUCCAAAAAAUCAGUUAAAUGAUAAAUUAAGGUAAUCAUAAUAAGAAAUAUACAUGUAGAGUGAGUAAUAUUUAUAAGUUGUUCACUUAAUGAUGGGUAAUUUCAAUACCACCAAACAGGAGAGUUCUCUCAUUCAUAUGUUUCGUAACUUAAGGGCUGGAAUUGUCUCAGCAUCUCAUAAUAAUAACAU